rnacentral:rRNA from 1 species
AGUGAACGCUGGCGGUAGGCCCAACACAUGCAAGUCGAACGGCAGCACAGUAAGAGCUUGCUCUUACGGGUGGCGAGUGGCGGACGGGUGAGGAAUACAUCGGAAUCUACUUUUUCGUGGGGGAUAACGUAGGGAAACUUACGCUAAUACCGCAUACGACCUACGGGUGAAAGCAGGGGACCUUCGGACCUUGCGCGAUUGAAUGAGCCGAUGUCGGAUUAGCUAGUUGGCGGGGUAAAGGCCCACCAAGGCGACGAUCCGUAGCUGGUCUGAGAGGAUGAUCAGCCACACUGGAACUGAGACACGGUCCAGACUCCUACGGGAGGCAGCAGUGGGGAAUAUUGGACAAUGGGCGCAAGCCUGAUCCAGCCAUACCGCGUGGGUGAAGAAGGCCUUCGGGUUGUAAAGCCCUUUUGUUGGGAAAGAAAAGCAGCAGGUUAAUACCCCGCUGUUCUGACGGUACCCAAAGAAUAAGCACCGGCUAACUUCGUG